rnacentral:rRNA from 1 species
AAAUUGAAGAGUUUGAUCAUGGCUCAGAUUGAACGCUGGCGGCAGGCCUAACACAUGCAAGUCGAACGGUAACAGGAAGAAGCUUGCUUCUUUGCUGACGAGUGGCGGACGGGUGAGUAAUGUCUGGGAAACUGCCUGAUGGAGGGGGAUAACUACUGGAAACGGUAGCUAAUACCGCAUAACGUCGCAAGACCAAAGAGGGGGAGCUUCGGGCCUCUUGCCAUCGGAUGUGCCCAGAUGGGAUUAGCUAGUAGGUGGGG